GAGACCCACGCCAACAGUUGCCAGCAUGUCCUCCGGGAUGGUGGGGACACUGUUGGGACCGCCUCUGCUAAAGAGGAGGAAGGAAUGGGCAACGGUAGGUCAGCAUGCCCCGAAUUAUCCGGGCUACACGCGGGCUACAAUGGUCAGGACAAUGGGUAUCGACACCGAGAGGUGAAGGCAAUCUCUUAAACCUGUCCUUAGUUCGGAUUGUGGGCUGCAACUCGCCCACAUGAAGCUGGAAUCCGUGGUAAUCGCGUCUCAAAAUGGCGCGGUGAAUAU
rnacentral:rRNA from 1 species